rnacentral:rRNA from 1 species
AACGAACGCUGGCGACAGGCUUAACACAUGCAAGUCGAGGGGUAGAGGAAGCUUGCUUCCUUGAGACCGGCGCACGGGUGCGUAACGCGUAUGCAAUCUACCUUUUACAGAGGGAUAGCCCAGAGAAAUUUGGAUUAAUACCUCAUAGUAUCUUUGCCUGGCAUCGGGUGAUUAUUAAAGUUCCAACGGUAAAAGAUGAGCAUGCGUCCUAUUAGCUAGAUGGUAAGGUAACGGCUUACCAUGGCAACGAUAGGUAGGGGUCCUGAGAGGGAGAUCCCCCCCGCGGGUACUGAGACACGGACCAGACUCCUACGGGAGGCAGCAGUGAGGAAUAUUGGACAAUGGGCGCAAGCCUGAUCAAGCCAUGCCGCGUGCAGGAAGACGGUCCUAUGGAUUGUAAACUGCUUUUGUACGGGAAGAAACACUCCUACGUGUAGGAGCUUGACGGUACCGUAAGAAUAAGGAUCGGCUAACUCCGUGCCAGCCGCCGCCGUAAUAC